AUACGGAAGGUCCGGGCGUUAUCCGGAUUUAUUGGGUUUAAAGGGAGCGCAGGCGGAGAUGCAAGCGUGACGUCAAAUUUCGGGGCUCAACCCCGUCUCGCGUCGCGAACUGCGUCCCUUGGUUGCGGGAAGGGGAGGCGGAACUCGUGGUGUAGCGGUGAAAUGCAUAGAUAUCACGAAGAACUCCGAUCGCGAAGGCAGCCUUCCGGCCCGUCAACGACGCUCAUGCUCGAAGGUGCGGGUACCAAACAGGAUUAGAUACCCUGGUAGUCCGCACAGUAAACGAUGGACACCCGCGGUUUGGCCUGUAUGGCUGAGCCGCCAAGCGAAAGCGUUAAGUGUCCCACCUGGGGAGUACGCCGGCAACGGUGAAACUCAAAUGAAUUGGCGGGG
rnacentral:rRNA from 1 species